UACAGAGGGGCUAGCGUUGUUCGGAAUCACUGGGCGUAAAGGGCGCGUAGGCGGCCGAUCAAGUCGGGGGUGAAAGCCUGUGGCUCAACCACAGAAUUGCCUUCGAUACUGUUUGGCUUGAGACCGGAAGAGGUAAGUGGAACUGCGAGUGUAGAGGUGAAAUUCGUAGAUAUUCGGAAGAACACCAGUGGCGAAGGCGGCUCACUGGCCCGGUACUGACGCUGAGAUACGAAAGCGUGGGGAGCAAACAGG
rnacentral:rRNA from 1 species